UACAGAGGUCUCGAGCGUUAGGCGGAAUCACUGGGCUUAAAGCGUGUGUAGGCGGAUCGUUAAGUGCCUUGUGAAAUCCCACGGCUCAACCGUGGAACUGCUUGGCAUACUGGCGGUCUUGAGCAACCUAGGGGCGAGCGGAACAAAUGGUGGAGCGGUGAAAUGCGUAGAUAUCAUUUGGAACGCCAAUGGUGAAAACAGCUCGCUGGGGGUUUGCUGACGCUGAGACACGAAAGCGUGGGGAGCGAACAGG
rnacentral:rRNA from 1 species